AUGACUCUGUACUGGGACCAAUGCACGAUGAUGAUGUUCAAAUGGACGAUAACGCUCCAGGCAGUGAAUUGGCUUUCAAUCUCAAACCAUGCCAUGAUCGUGGUCGAAAGCCCUGCCCGUCAGACGCCUCACGGUUUACAUAGCAACAGCAACGGGAGCCCUGUUGGGGCAGUUGCUUGCUUGUUGCCGAACCCAGUUGCAAUGGAGGUUGAUAAACCUGAUUGCAAUGUCCCAGAAAUUCCUACCCCGCCAUUGGCCCAUGGGGUGCCAGACCAUGCUAUGGUGCAAGUUGGGAGCCCUGGCCUCGGCAUGGUGUCUGGGUUGCAGCAUCAGGUGGGGUUUGAUAGCCCGGUCCGGUAG
rnacentral:rRNA from 1 species